rnacentral:rRNA from 1 species
UACAGAGGUCUCAAGCGUUGUUCGGAUUCAUCGGGCGUAAAGGGUGCGUAGGUGGCGGGGUAAGUCAGGUGUGAAAUCUCGAGGCUCAACCUCGAAACUGCACUUGAUACUGCCUUGCUCGAGUACUGGAGAGGAGAUUGGAAUUUACGGUGUAGCAGUGAAAUGCGUAGAUAUCGUAAGGAAGACCAGUGGCGAAGGCGAAUCUCUGGACAGUUACUGACACUGAGGCACGAAGGCCAGGGGAGCAAACGGG